GAAAUGCGAUAAGUAAUGUGAAUUGCAGAAUUCAGUGAAUCAUCGAAUCUUUGAACGCACAUUGCGCCCGCCAGUAUUCUGGCGGGCAUGCCUGUUCGAGCGUCAUUACAACCCUCAGGCCCCCGGGCCUGGCGUUGGGGAUCGGCGGAAGCCCCCUGCGGGCACAACGCCGUCCCCCAAAUACAGUGGCGGUCCCGCCGCAGCUUCCAUUGCGUAGUAGUUAACACCUCGCAACUGGAGAGCGGCGCGGCCACGCCGUAAAACACCCAACUUCUGAAUGUUGACCUCGAAUCAGGUAGGAAUACCCGCUGAACUUAAGC
rnacentral:misc_RNA from 1 species